rnacentral:rRNA from 1 species
CCUACGGGCGGCAGCAGUGGGGAAUAUUGCACAAUGGGGGAAACCCUGAUCCAGCGACGCCGCGUGAGCGAUGACGUAUUUCGGUAUUUAAAGCUCUAUCAGCACGGAAGAAAAUGACGGUACCUGAGUAAGAUUCUCCGGCUAAAUACGUGCCAGCAGCCGCGGUAAUACGUAUGGAGCAAGCGUUAUACGGAUUUACUGGGUGUUAAGGGAGCGCAGUCGGCCUAGCAAGUCUGAUGUGAAAUGCCGGGGCUCAACCCCGGAGCUGCAUUUGAAACUGUGAGGCUGGAGUGUCGGAGAGGCAGGCGGAAUUCCUGGUGUAGCGGUGAAAUGCGUAGAUAUUAGGAAGAACACCAGUGGCGAAGGCAGCCUGCUGGACGAUGACUGACGCUGAGGCUCGAAAGCGUGGGGAGCAAACAGGAUUAGAUACCCCAGUAGUC